CCCUUAGAUGUCCUGGGCCGCACGCGCGCUACACUGAUGCAUGCAACGAGUUUAUAACCUUGGCCUGAAAGGUCUGGGUAAUCUUUUGAACGUGCAUCGUGAUAGGGAUAGAUUAUUGCAAUUGUUAAUCUUGAACGAGGAAUUCCUAGUAAACGCGAGUCAUCAGCUCGCAUCGAUUACGUCCCUGCCCUUUGUACACACCGCCCGUCGCUCCUACCGAUUGAAUGCUCAGGUGAGCCAUUCGGACUUUCAUCAUGCUGGUUUCCAGUUUUGAUGAAGGAAAGUCUUGCGAACCUUAUCAUUUAGAGGAAGGAGAAGUCGUAACA
rnacentral:rRNA from 1 species